CUUUCUUCCGACUAGGCAUGGCUCUAUGAAGAGAUAAUUUUAGACCUCAAACUUUGACCUAGUGAAUAGAAGAAUGAUGUAAAUGGAGAGAAACGAAGAGGAAGGAACUCACAGAACAAAGGAGGAAAUGAUGGGAUUUAAACUGUCUUGUGAGAUCCGAAGGGUUUUUUAAUUCCUUAGUAACUGAUAGUGGAAAGGCUGAUUCUUGUUUGAUGAUGCAUUAAUUUGUGAUGCUCCAUGGGUUAAGAACUGCUAAAUAUUUGGUGCAGUUUUGAAAUCCACUGUAAUUACAUUUGGCUUUGUACCGAUCAGUGCCUUGCAUAACUACCCUGGGGGCAUUCAUUUACUGCGGCCACUGUGACAAAUGCUGUAAAACAACAGUCAUUACUUUUAAGUGUGGGAGGUCAAGCAGGAUCUGCUUGAUUGGGUUCCUUCUAAAACCCCUAAGCAAAAGCCCUUUCCUUGACUCUUUUUGGCUCCAAGUGACAGCCUGUGUUUCUUGACACCUAAUGACUUCCACUCUGGCCUCUGCUCACACAGCUGCAGAGUCCCCUCUGACUCCGCCCCUCCCCACUUGAUUUUAUAAGCUCAGGACCUUUGUGAUUCAUUUAGGACACACUCUAAAUAAUCCUGAGCCAUCUCCACAUUGCAAUACCCUCAACCCCUGAAGAAUGUUUUCUGCCACCAAAGAAGUCUUGGUAUUGUAUCAUUUGUCUCCAAAACUGUGUCACCACAAAAGACAGGAGUCACGAUGAUGACAGGUGGAAAGCAGGGACAGGUGGAAAGCAGUGUCAAGACUUAGAUGCACAGCAAGUGUGACAGUUCCAAAGGCAGAGAGAAGAUGGCACAUCCAAAAGUAUAUCUGGUGAGUGUGAAUUUUGUAGUAAAAUAAAAUAGUUUAUGUACAAGCUGUACCUGUGAUAGAAAAAAAGUUUAAACACUUCUAGAGAGCCCAAUGUGGUAACUGAGACACACCUGCAACCCUGCCCUUUGGAUGUGGAGACAAGAGGAGUUCAAGGCCAACCUCAGCUACACAGAAAGUGUGAGGCCAGCUUGGGCUACAUGAGACCUUGUCUGUGCUAGCCAAACUAGAAAAAUAAGUAAGUGAGUAAAUAAUUUGAUUCUUCUACAUGGUCUUUAUCAUCUUGAGGAGGUAGUUUGAAAUGUCAUUAUUAAGAAUUUCAACAGACAUUAUUAACAGAUAUUUAUUAGCUCAUACAUUGGUAUUGCCAGAUUAGCUCAUACAUUGGUUUUUACAGAUUGGGUUUGUUGGGGGGGUAUUUUUUUAUUAACUAAUUAAUUAAAAUUGGAGACAGGUGCUCACUAAGUAGCCCUUGUCUGACCUGGGAUUCACUAUAUAGACCAACCAGAACUCAAGCACAGGGGUCCACCUGCCUCUGCCUUCUGAGUGCUGGGAUUCAAAC
rnacentral:lncRNA from 1 species